ensembl:lncRNA
AACUCUUGUUUUGUUCUUACCCUAACCAAGAUUGAGAGGUCUUGCUGUAGUGGAUACUUCUUCAGGGAUUUCAGUUUCUAGGUUACAGAGCAAGCACUCCUCAUUCCUUAAGCUCAGUGGGGAAGACUGUAACCAGCACCAUCAACAGUAGGUAGCUGCCCUCACUGCUACAGCAAUGGACAAGAAAGGAUAUAACAUGGAUUGUGCUGCUGUUGCUUAAUUGAAUUCUAACCAAUAGGUACUUCAACAUGGAUACGGCCUGGAUAUACCACAGGGAAACAGCCAUGCAAAGAUGUAUCAUUCUGUGAACAGUGUGCUUGUAAGAAAUUUGCUAAUUAUGGUUUUGCAUGUUUUCUAUAUUCAGAAGACCAAGGAAGGAACAGGAGAAGACUUGGGUGGGACAAGAACUAUACCUUAAAGGAACAGAUCCAAGGCAAUCAGCCCUGGAAGUGUCCAGCCUUGUACUUUUUGUUUUUUACCUUGGCAAUGUUAAAUACAUCAAUGUGCUUAAAUCCCAAACAAACAGGCUGGAACAAAGGACACAAUACAUUUACAGGAGUUGGGAAAAAAAAUACUAAAUCAAACAGUCUUAAACACUUCUGAUAAACAGCAAGAACUGGAAAGUAGAAAGCUAUCUAUUGAAAAUAAUCAAGAGGUCUUUCAGAAGUAUUACCAUUGACUUCAGCAAGCGGACUCCAGACAAAUGGAAAAAUGGGGAACAAAAAGCUUUUAAAUCUGACAGUUUCCUUGCAGUGCUUGAGUCUGUGAGACCAGUAUGCUCAUGAUCCAAAAAUCAGAACUAAAAACUUUCCCUAUUCAGCAUGUUAUGCAUGAGAGAAAGUGAGAUACACAGGAAAUCUCAUAGAUAAAAUGAAACAAAUAUUAAAGAACAAAAGCAAAUUUGCUGAAGGGAAUGCAGCUUGCUACAACAUAUGGACAAAAGUUACUGUCAGAGCAACAAUUAAUCUCUGUAACAACCUCUCCCUGUGGGAAUGGAAGCUCAAAGCACCUAUAUGAUUCAAACCUUUGCUUAUUAGGCCUUUUCCACAUCUUAGCAAGCAGAGUCAAGCAACACUAUGUGAAUGUGGUGGGGCAACACUUUCAGUUCAUCUCAAGGAUAGCUGAAGAAAAUUCACACCUUCAACUUCAUAAGAAUGGUUUUUCUACUAAUAUGAAUUAAGUCUGACUGGCUUCCCCUGGCUUAAUAUAAAAGAACUAAGGAAAUAAUGAAUCUUUUUUUCAUGUUUUCUUGGAUUUCUACAGCAUUAUCUUUCUUUAAAUGGUCAGAGAAAUAAGUGCCAAUAUUUUCUGGUAAUAAAUUGCAAAUGGUUCCCCUUCUCUAUCUUGCAUGAUAUCCAAGUGAAUUUUUCAAAGUGUUUAAAAGAUUAAGAGAUAAUAUUUCUAGAUUUCCACCACAUUAUAGACUCGCAACAAGAGGUCUGCUUGUACAGCAUGCUUCCAAAGCUUCAUUUCUUACUGCUUUUCUGAGGACUCCAAUGGCUGAUUCAGACUCUCCACCGACUUUGCUUAAGAAACAUGCUGACAGUCCGGGUGAUAUCACAUGGUGCUCAAUUAUUUUUCCAGUAGGAAUUUUUCAGUUUAUUCCUUAAGUUGCAAGUUUGCUACUCAAUAUAGCUUGCUUAUGUGUUGAUUUAUGUGGGGCUUUUGUUUUUUGCCAUUGUUGCUUGGGUAGUUGCUCUGGCCUGGUACCUCCAUACGCUCCUCUCUUUAACACACCCCAUAUUAUAUGAGAGUAUGCCAACUUCAUUCUGAACUAGUACUUGCCCAGCUAAAGAACUUAAAGAUUUAACUAUAGAUGAUUCUCAAGUUCAGGCUCUGAGACUUCAACAUGCAUUUUCUGUGCCUAGAUGCUUUUGUGAAUGAGU